AGAGUUUGAUCCUGGCUCAGAACGAACGCUGGCGGCGCGUUUUAAGCAUGCAAGUCGAGGGGGAUUAUGUUGGGUAACCAAUAUAUGAGACCGGCGAACGGGUGAGUAACACGUAGGUGAUCUACCUUAAGGACUAGGAUAGCCUCUGGAAACAGAGAGUAAUACUGGAUAUGCAUUUUCGUUUACGAACGAAAAUGGAAAAGUGCUUUGGCACUGCCUUAUGAUGAGCCUGCGGCUGAUUAGCUUGUUGGUGUGGUAAAGGCAUACCAAGGCAGAGAUCAGUAGCCGGCCUGAGAGGGUGAACGGCCACACUGGGACUGAGAUACGGACCAGACUCCUACGGGAGGCAGCAGUGGGGAAUCUUGGACAAUGGGCGCAAGCCUGAUCCAGCCAUGCCGCGUGAGUGAAGAAGGCCUUCGGGUUGUAAAGCUCUUUCAGCGGAGACGAUGAUGACGGUAUCCGCAGAAGAAGCCCCGGCUAACUUCGUGCCAGCAGCCGCGGUAAUACGAAGGGGGCUAGCGUUGUUCGGAAUUACUGGGCGUAAAGGGCGCGUAGGUGGCGUUGCAAGCGGGUGGUGAAAUCCCUGGGCUCAACCCAGGAAUUGCCAUCCGAACUGUGGUGCUCGAGUUCGGAAGAGGGUAACGGAAUUCCCAGUGGAGAGGUGGAAUUCGUAGAGAUUGGGAAGAACACCAGAAGCGAAGGCGGUUAUCUGGUCCGAAACUGACACUGAUGCGCGAAAGCGUGGGUAGCAAACAGGAUUAGAUACCCUGGUAGUCCACGCCCUAAACGAUGUCCGCUAGCUAUUGGGCGCAGGCCCAGUGGCGAAGCUAACGCGUUAAGCGGACCGCCUGGGGAGUACGGU
rnacentral:rRNA from 1 species